rnacentral:rRNA from 1 species
AUGGGAGAACUCACAGUUAUCGCCACUGGGGCAGCCACCAGGGCGCCGGAAGUUGGGGCAAGGCACCGCAGUGUAGGGGUGCUUGCGGGGGUCACGGCGGCGCGCGUUUUCGCCGGGGUGCACGAAGGGGCACUCGGUCCAGUCAUGCGAGUAAGCACGGGAGCACGGACGCACCUUGAAAGCAAACAUGCGGAACUCGUCCGAGGCAUAGACGCUGCUCUUGAUGUCCGGCAGCGUCGGAUCCACCGGGUACUCCUUCUUGGCGCGAUCCACGGUGAUGGGAGAGAGCGACGACGAGCGCGACGACGGCGACCUGUUGCCCUCGUCGUCUGGCGAGGACGAAAGCGGCGGGGACGACGCGCCAGAAGCCGCCGAGGUGGCGACGGCGAGGGCCCGGCGGCGGCCAAGAAGUAUCUCGAGAUCGCCCAGGGCGUCUGCCGAAGCCGGAGGAGCCCGGACGACGUCGGCCGGGACGCGGCCGGUGGAGUCGGCAGUAGCUGGGUCCGCGCCGGCGUCAAGCAGCAUCUUGACGACCUGGACGGCGUCGCAGGAGCCGCCGGAGGCGGCACAGUGAAGCGGGGUGAAGCCAUCGCCGCCAGGCCGACGAGCUACAUCGACCCAGCCGGCGCGGCCGAGCAGCAGCGAGACGACCCGCGCGCUGCCGUACGUGGCCGCGACCAUGAGCGGCGUGCGCGGCUCGUACGCCUUGCUCCGGCCAUACCAGAGCCCGACGUCAUCGGCCAGCUCGGCCGCCUCCUCGCCAGCUCCCUCGAGCGCGGCCUUCAUCCCAUCAACGUCGUCCGCCGCGGCGAGCUCGAGCAGCGCCGCGAGCCUGUCCCGCCGGCCCGCGCCGGCAGCCUGAGCGCGGUCGAGAUCGGGAAGGUCUCCCAUUGCUUGUGCUAG